rnacentral:pre_miRNA from 1 species
AAAUUACUCCCUCCGUCCCAAAAUUCUUGUCUUAGAUUUGUCUAGAUACGGAUGUAUCAAGUCACAUUUUAGUAUUAGAUACAUCUGUAUCUAGAAAAAUCUAAGACAAGAAAUUUGGGACAGAGGGAGUAGUUG